rnacentral:misc_RNA from 1 species
UCGUACCAAAUGUGUUGAGGCCAUGUGAGGGUUGUCGGCUGACUUCUCAAAAGUCGUGCACGCCGGAGCAUGUCCUCUCACAUAACACAAUCCAUCUCACCCUUUGUGCACCACCGCGUGGGCACCCUUUGGGAUCAGGUCGAUCUCUCGGGGGACUCGCGUUUUCACACAACACCCCCCCUUUUAAAAAGUGUAGAAUGACCUCAUUUAUGUGAUCAAUA